UUUGGAACCCUGCAGCCACAAGAAAAAAAACCCAAGCAGUCCAGGGGAGGAUGAGAGAUAACACGAGGUAGAGCUGAGCCAACCCAGCCCUGGAUGGACCCACCAGCCCCCAGCCAACCUGACAGCUGCACACAGACACAUGAGGCUCCCCAGCCAACAACUGGUCUAUCACAGUCUUGAGCUUUUGGUGCCGAGGUCAAUGACACGUGAUGUGUGACGAGAUGUCCAGCACCCCAUCUGACAACAUCAUCCUGUGUCUCCAUGAAGGGGAGAAAGAAGCCAGCCAGCGAACCCUCUGGAAAGGCAUUUGCUAACUGCCCACUAGCAAUUGUUGAGCGAUAACACAUGCAGUUCCCCACAUGUUUAUGCAGAGUCUCAGAUUUAUCUGACAGUUUUACACCCUCAGGCAUGAUACACAGUAAUUAAAAUUAAAAAUGUUUUGACAGCCUAAACAAAUGGCUAUAUAAAUUAGAAAGCUGUAAAAAGCCACAGUAGCCAAAAAUAAAGAUAUAUAGAUAAAUCAUAAAAUUAUAAACAAGGAAAAUAUUUUAAUACAGGCAUGUUUAUAUCCAGACACUUAGAAAUAUAGGCUAACUUUUGCCUGAAG
rnacentral:lncRNA from 10 species